rnacentral:lncRNA from 1 species
CAAAGGCUCAAACUCCUGAAGCUUCUUGCUCACUGUGUCCUCUCCAUCGCGUGAACCCAAUCGCGUUCGCCUCAGCUCCGAUAAGUCGUCAUACCAUCGUCUUCGUCGAUCGGGAAUCGUGGUGCCGACACAUCGACAUCGUCGUUCGUCCCCUUUCCGAGUCUACAACAACGUCGCCUAUCCCUCUUUGGUGCUUGUUAUCGAUCCGUCGCCUUGCCCCGAUGCUGGCUCCUACGUGACGCCUCCCACUUGUGUUCACGCCAAAAAUCCGAGAAGAUUUGGCGCCGAAGGAAAUAAAUCAGUACGCGACCGGAGGAUUCUCUAUGUGGAUGGAGAAGAAACGCGAUUCGAUGCAGCACUCACCAUGUGUUUGGUGAAAUGCUAGAGCUGAAAGGCGUCGUGAUUUCGUGGUUUCAAGUCGAAUUUAAUGAGGGUAAGUUGAUUCGUUAUUCCAGUCAACUAGGUAUAUAAUUAGAUUAAAUAUAAUUGUUGGUCGCGGUAAUUGUUAUUGAUUUAGCAUACGUAUAUUGUGAUGUUCGAUUUAGUUAAGUCUGUAAUUUAGGUUAAUUAAGACGCACGGUUUAAAGAUGUUGAUUAGAUUGUUCUUAUAACUAUUUUAAGUCGUUGGCAUUUAAUACUAG